GGUCAGUGUCAUAAUACUGUUUGCUUUUACUGCAAUAAAAUACACAUAUUUGUAUUCAGCAAAGUCUCACGUGUAAAACAGUACCCCCUAUGUACAGGUUUUAUGGCGCUUUGGGAAGUUACAGGGUCAAAUAUAGCACGUUACAUUUGAAAUUGAAAUUCGCCAGAUUGGUUACGUUGCCUUUGAGACUGUAUAGUAGCCCGGGAAUGAAAUUUACACCCAUAACGGCAUACCAUUUGCAAUAGUAGACAACCCAAGG